GAUGAACGCUGGCGGCGUGCCUAAUACAUGCAAGUCGAACGGGGAGGUAUCAAUUUCGAUUUUUACUCCUAGUGGCGAACGGGUGAGUAACGCGUUGGUGACCUGCCCCGAAGAGGGGGAUAACUCCGCGAAAGCGGAGCUAAUACCCCAUGUGGUCUUUCAGGUUAGAGGCUGAAUGACUAAAGGAGCAAUCCACUUCGGGAGGGGCCUGCGUCCCAUCAGCUAGUUGGUAGGGUAACGGCCUACCAAGGCGAUGACGGGUAGGGGGCCUGAGAGGGUGGCCCCCCACACUGGCACUGAAACACGGGCCAGACACCUACGGGUGGCAGCAGUAGGGAAUAUUGCACAAUGGGCGAAAGCCUGAUGCAGCAACGCCGCGUGCGCGAAGAAGGCCUUCGGGUUGUAAAGCGCUUUUCUGGAGGAAGAGGAAGGACGGUACUCCAGGAAUAAGGAUCGGCUAACUACGUG
rnacentral:rRNA from 1 species